rnacentral:tRNA from 1 species
GAAACCCUAGUUAAAAUAACAUUAUCUUGUCAAGAUAAAAUUACCUUGAAGGUGAGUUUCU